rnacentral:tRNA from 1 species
GCUCAGGUGUCCGAGUGGUUAAGGAGAUGGACUUGAAAUCCAUUGCGAUCUUCGCGCACAGGUUCGAAUCCUGUCCUGAGCG